rnacentral:tRNA from 1 species
GGAGAGGUGCCAGAGCGGUCGAAUGGGCCGGUCUCGAAAACCGGUGUGGGUGUAAGCUCACCGUGGGUUCGAAUCCCACCCUCUCCGCCA